GGUGUCGGUAGUGCAAUUGGUUAAGCACGCGUUCCUAGAAAGGGUGAAAUGUGGGUUCGAGUCCCGCCAGACGUCA